rnacentral:rRNA from 1 species
GAUGAACGCUGGCGGCGUGCCUAAUACAUGCAAGUCGAGCGAACGGACGAGAAGCUUGCUUCUCUGAUGUUAGCGGCGGACGGGUGAGUAACACGUGGAUAACCUACCUAUAAGACUGGGAUAACUUCGGGAAACCGUAGCUAAUACCGGAUAAUAUUUUGAACCGCAUGGUUCAAAAGUGAAAGACGGUCUUGCUGUCACUUAUAGAUGGAUCCGCGCUGCAUUAGCUAGUUGGUAAGGUAACGGCUUACCAAGGCAACGAUGCAUAGCCGACCUGAGAGGGGGAUCGGCCACACUGGAACUGAGACACGGUCCAGACUCCUACGGGAGGCAGCAGUAGGGAAUCUUCCGCAAUGGGCGAAAGCCUGACGGAGCAACGCCGCGUGAGUGAUGAAGGGCUUCGGAUCGUAAAACUCUGUUAUUAGGGAAGAACAGAUGUGUAAGUAACUGUGCACAUCUUGACGGUACCGAAUCAGAAAGCCACGGCUAACUACGU